AGAAUGGUGUCACUUGACACCACUCAAUUAGAAAAAAAUAUUUAUU
rfam:Theobroma cacao cultivar Matina 1-6 chromosome 10, whole genome shotgun sequence.